AGGUUGAACGCUAGCGGCAUGCCUAACACAUGCAAGUCGAACGGUAACAGGCCCUUCGGGGUGCUGACGAGUGGCGGACGGGUGAGUAAUGCGUAGGAAUCUACCCACGAGUGGGGGAUAGCCCGGAGAAAUCCGGAUUAAUACCGCAUAUCGCCCGUAACGGGGUAAAGGCGGGGAUCGUAAGACCUCGCGCUGGUGGAUGACGCCUACGUCCGAUUAGUUAGUUGGGUAGGGGUAAACGGCCU
rnacentral:rRNA from 1 species